AGGGUUUGAUUCUGGCUCAGAUUGAACGCUGGCGGCAUGCUUUACACAUGCAAGUCGAACGGCAGCAUGGAGAGCUUGCUCUCUGAUGGCGAGUGGCGAACGGGUGAGUAAUACAUCGGAACGUGUCCUGUUGUGGGGGAUAACUACUCGAAAGAGUAGCUAAUACCGCAUAAGACCUAAGGGUGAAAGCGGGGGACCUUCGGGCCUCGCGCAGUUGGAGCGGCCGAUGACUGAUUAGCUAGUUGGUGGGGUAAAGGCCUACCAAGGCGACGAUCAGUAGCUGGUCUGAGAGGACGACCAGCCACAUUGGGACUGAGACACGGCCCAA
rnacentral:rRNA from 1 species